rnacentral:lncRNA from 1 species
GUCUAAAAGACACCGUGAGGAAAAUUCAAAAUUGAGCUUCAAACAGGAGAAGAUAUUACCAAUUCUUAUAUCAAAUAAAAAUUAGUUCCACAAUAUAUAAUCUAAUAUAUAUGCAGAAUACAUAAAGAAUUAUAAUGAAAUUUUUAAAAGAUUAAGAUACUUACAUUUAGAUUAACAGGCAAAAUAUAUGAACCAACAACUCCCAGUAGAGGGAAAAACGGCCAAUAAAGACAUAAAAAGAGGACUUGAUGGCACGGUGGAUAAGUGCACAAACUGCAAGUCGCUCAGUCGUGUCUGACUCUUUGGGACCCCAUGGACUAUACAGUCCAUGGCAUUCUCCAGGCCAGAAUGCUGGAGUGGGUAGCCUUUCCCUUCUCCAGGGGAUCUUCCCAACUCAAGGAUCGAACCCAGGUCUCCCACAUUGCAGGCGGAUUCUUUACCAGCUGAUCCACAAGGGAAGCCCUUGUGGAUAAUCCACCUGCCAAUGCGGGGGGCACAGGUUCUGUCUCUGAUGGGGGAUGAUUCCACAUGCCUCGGAGCAGCUGAGCCCAUUCACUGCAACUCCUGAGCCCUAGAGCCAGCAAGCUGCAAGCAGUGAGCUUGUGUGCCCCAACCACUGAGCCAUGCACCCAGAGCCUGUACUCUGCGACAUAAGGAGCCACUGCAAUAAGAAGCUCAGCCUUGCAACUAGAGAGGAGCCCCCACUCUGCGCUAGAGGAGGCCCUUGUGCAUCAGCAAAGACCCAGAGCAGCCAACACUACAUGAAACAAACAAGCGAAUACAGCCGUGUGUACUUGUCAAAUAAUUUAUUUUUUAGGUUAUACAAAGAUGCUCCAGUUCACCAGCGAGCGGGGAAACACAGUUUUAUCGAAAUGAGACACCACUUCACCCUCACUCAGUUGGCAAAAAUGAAGAGGUCAGGAAACCCCCGUGUUCGUGCCUGGGGCUCAUUCUGCCGUCAGGGUGCCUGUCAGCCCUUGGGGCGUGUGGGAAGGCACCGGCUCUCCUGUGUUGGCUGGACUCCCACGUACAGUCACCCCACAUUCCCCUCUGGAAUCUCACAGAGAUGCGUCAGGACAGGAAGAGGAGAUCAGGACACAGUCACGCAGAGGGACGACCCGUGA